rnacentral:rRNA from 1 species
CUGCGGAAGGAUCAUUACUGAGUGAGGGUCCCUCGGGGCCCAACCUCCCACCCGUGUAUACCGUACCUUGUUGCUUCGGCGAGCCCGCCCCCUUUUUCUUAGGGGGGCACAGCGCUCGCCGGAGACACCAACGUGAACACUGUCUGAAGUUUUGUCGUCUGAGUCGAUUGUAUCGCAAUCAGUUAAAACUUUCAACAAUGGAUCUCUUGGUUCCGGCAUCGAUGAAGAACGCAGCGAAAUGCGAUAAUUAAUGUGAAUUGCAGAAUUCAGUGAAUCAUCGAGUCUUUGAACGCACAUUGCACCCCCUGGUAUUCCGGGGGGUAUGCCUGUCCGAGCGUCAUUGCUGCCCUCAAGCACGGCUUGUGUGUUGGGUCGUCGUCCCCCCGGGGGACGGGCCCGAAAGGCAGCGGCGGCACCGCGUCCGGUCCUCGAGCGUAUGGGGCUUUGUCACACCGCUCUUGUAGGCCCGGCCGGCUGCUGGCCGACGCUGAAAAGCAACCAACUAUUUCUCCAGGUUGACCUCGGAUCAGGUAGGGAUACCCGCUGAACUUAAGCAUAUCAAUA